CCUACGGGAGGCAGCAGUGAGGAAUAUUGGUCAAUGGGCGAGCGCCUGAACCAGCCAAGUCGCGUGAGGGAUGACGGCCCUACGGGUUGUAAACUUCUUUUGUCAGGGAGCACUUGGGUUCACGCGUGGGCUUAUCGAUAGUACCUGAAGGAAAAGCAUCGGCUAACUCCGUGCCAGCAGCCGCGGUAAUACGGAGGAUGCGAGCGUUAUCUGGAUUUAGUGGGUUUAAAGGGUGCGUAGGCGGAAUAUCAAGUCAGCGGUAAAAAUUCGGGGCUCAACCCCGUCGUGCCGUUGAAACUGAUGUUCUUGAGUGGGCGAGAAGUAUGCGGAAUGCGUGGUGUAGCGGUGAAAUGCAUAGAUAUCACGCAGAACACCGAUUGCGAAGGCAGCAUACCGGCGCCCAACUGACGCUGAAGCACGAAAGCGUGGGUAUCGAACAGGAUUAGAUACCCUUGUAGUC
rnacentral:rRNA from 1 species